AGCGAACGCUGGCGGCAGGCCUAACACAUGCAAGUCGAGCGCCCAGCAAUGGGAGCGGCAGACGGGUGAGUAACGCGUGGGGAUCUGCCCGAUGGUACGGAAUAAUUCCGGGAAACUGGGACUAAUACCGUAUGUGCCCGCAAGGGGAAAGAUUUAUCGCCAUCGGAUGAACCCGCGUCGGAUUAGCUAGUUGGUGUGGUAAAGGCGCACCAAGGCGACGAUCCGUAGCUGGUCUGAGAGGAUGAUCAGCCACACUGGGACUGAGACACGGCCCAGACUCCUACGGGAGGCAGCAGUGGGGAAUAUUGGACAAUGGGCGCAAGCCUGAUCCAGCCAUGCCGCGUGAGUGAUGAAGGCCUUAGGGUUGUAAAGCUCUUUCGCCGGUGAAGAUAAUGACGGUAACCGGAGAAGAAGCCCCGGCUAACUUCGUGCCAGCCGCCGCAGUAAUAC
rnacentral:rRNA from 1 species